CCUACGGGUGGCAGCAGUGAGGAAUAUUGGUCAAUGGCCGAAAGGCUGAACCAGCCAAGUAGCGUGAGGGAUGAAUGCCCUACGGGUUGUAAACCGCUUUUGUCAGGGAGUAAAGUCACCCACGUGUGGGUGUUGGCGAGUACCUGACGAAAAAGCAUCGGCUAACUCCGUGCCAGCAGCCGCGGUAAUACGGAGGGUGCGAGCGUUAUCCGGAUUUAUUGGGGUUAAAGGGUGCGUAGGCGGGUUAUCAAGUCAGCGGUAAAAUCGUGGGGCUAAACAGCAUCCAGCCGUUGAAAAUGGUGAUCUUGAGUGCGCGAGAGGUAUGCGGAAUGCGUGGUGUAGCGGUGAAAUGCAUAGAUAUCACGCAGAACUCCGAUUGCGAAGGCAGCAUACCGGCGCGCGACUGACGCUGAGGCACGAAAGUGUGGGUAUCGAACAGGAUUAGAUACCCGGGUAGUC
rnacentral:rRNA from 1 species